UACGUAGGGGGCGAGCGUUGUCCGGAAUUACUGGGCGUAAAGGGCGCGUAGGCGGCACAGCAAGUCGGGAGUGAAAGCCCGGGGCUCAACCCCGGAAUGGCUUUCGAAACUGCUGAGCUAGAGUACAGAAGGGGCAACCGGAAUUCCCAGUGUAGCGGUGAAAUGCGUAGAUAUUGGGAAGAACACCUGAGGCGAAGGCGGGUUGCUGGGCUGAUACUGACGCUGAGGCGCGAAAGCCAGGGGAGCAAACGGG
rnacentral:rRNA from 1 species